GACUUGACAAUAGGAAGAAUCAGAAUAAAACGUAAGAGCCACGGCAGCACGCUGGAGGAGAAUCCUGAUAGUAUUUGUGGCAACUCGAGUACUAUGUUUGGUAAAUACCUUUGAGGAAGAGGAUGUACCUGAAGAAUGGAUUCUUCUUCAUGUUGUUCAAGGCCAGAUUGGAGUAGGAAACUGCAGCUACUUGAGACUAAAUCAUGAGGGAAAGAUAGUACUUCAGAUGCAGAGUUGAGAAGGUGAUGCGGAUUUAUGUAUCCGAUAUGACUCUUCACCCCAGCUUUGACGAGUACGAGUUACAGUCUGUUACUUGUGGCCAAGACAUUGUCCACGUAGCAGCACACUUCUGCCGACCAGUGGGAAUAGGGAUUUAUGGGCAUCCCUCCCACCAGGAGAGUGAGUUUGAAAUGAAAGUCUACUAUGAUCGAACAGUCGUACAGCAUCCAUUUGGCGAGGCUUCCUACAAUCCAGAGGAGAUGGAGGCAAGCCAGAAAUACUCACACUCUACAGAAGAUGAAUCUCAGGAUGAAGAGUCUGUUUUCUGGACUAUACUUAUUGGAAUCUUGAAGAAUCCCCAGGACUCAGAGGAGGUGGGAAGAGAACAAUUAAAUCUUUAUUACCUGAGGGAAAAGCGUCAAGCCCCACACAGAAAGUGUGAUAACCACGGUCGCAUACAUCACAGAGCAUCAUUUCUUCUUCACGAUGAAGCUGCCCACACGUAAUGCAUGUUUUACACUGCAUACAUUGCCAAGGAAGCUGAAGCCGAGCUCACCUCCUGGUGAGAUCUGAUAGCGCACUGAACGUGUCAGUACACGUAACAUUAAAUAGGAAGCUUCAAUGGAGGAGAGAACGGGCAACAGAACUGUCGUACACAAGUACAGAGACUUCCACCAAAAAUCUGUCAGAGAUUCUCUCUUACGAAUCCAGUUAGUGCAUGCAGAUACUUACCACUGUUGUCACACUGGGAGCAAUGUAUAAGAGCUUCAGCUUUUCCUUUCUUGGACUCCUUACUCUUCAGACAAAUUCCACACAUAGCAUUUGGAAUGACCUUUGGCUGGAAGGGUAGAAGAGGACUAUAAAUUCAUUCCAGAAGAAUUCACAGAUUUAGCAGGAAACGUGUCUCCUUAACUCUUAAAAUUAAUGAUUUAUCUGCUGUGUGAACCUUAGUACAUAGCACAAUAACUGACAAUGAGUGCUGUUUCAAUCUUUGAUUAACUAUGUGCAGUUUUGCAUUUGGCACGCCUGUAGUGAGCAUGGUGUAAGUUCAGCUGGAGUAGAGCACGUAGCAGUGUCUUCCCCUGAAUUCAUCAGCUAACAAUCCUCUACAUGUAAAUUACAUGAUGUAACAUUAAAAAUUUCAGGGAUUUUGGACUUUUUUUUCCACCAAAAUAGAAUACUUCUUUAUGAAUGGCCAUGCAGAUUUUCCAUGUGGAAUGCAUUAAAUACAAUUUCCCCUUUGCAUUGACUCUCUAAGUAUAGAAAUUUAGUUACAAAAGCAAUAAACUAGAUUUUUGUAUUGUUAGUUUUAAAGUAUCUGGUUAACAGUAUUAUAUAGUGCUACCAGUCAUAACCACAGUAAGAAAUACCCACCAUUGUACCUAAUUAUAGUUUC